rnacentral:rRNA from 1 species
UACAGAGGUCUCAAGCGUUGUUCGGAUUCAUUGGGCGUAAAGGGUGCGUAGGUGGCGCCGUAAGUCAGGUGUGAAAUUUCGGAGCUUAACUCCGAAACUGCAUUUGAUACUGCGGUGCUUGAGGACUGGAGAGGAGACUGGAAUUUACGGUGUAGCAGUGAAAUGCGUAGAGAUCGUAAGGAAGACCAGUGGCGAAGGCGGGGUCUCUGGACAGUUC